rnacentral:rRNA from 1 species
AGCCUCAAGUGAUGAUUAUUGGAGGUAGAGCACUGUUUGGACGAGGGGCCCCUCUCGGGUUACCGAAUUCAGACAAACUCCGAAUGCCAAUUAAUUUAGCUUGGGAGUCAGAACAUGGGUGAUAAGGUCCGUGUUCGAAAGGGAACAGCCCAGACCACCAGCUAAGGUCCCAAAAUAUAUGUUAAGUGGAAAAGGAUGUGGCGUUGCCCAGACAACUAGGAUGUUGGCUUAGAAGCAGCCAUCAUUUAAAGAGUGCGUAAUAGCUCACUAGUCGAGUGACACUGCGCCGAAAAUGUACCGGGGCUAAACAUAUUACCGAAGCUGUGGAUUGUCCUUUGGACAAUGGUAGGAGAGCGUUCUAAGGGCGUUGAAGCAUGAUCGUAAGGACAUGUGGAGCGCUUAGAAGUGAGAAUGCCGGUGUGAGUAGCGAAAGACGGGUGAGAAUCCCGUCCACCGAUUGACUAAGGUUUCCAGAGGAAGGCUCGUCCGCUCUGGGUUAGUCGGGUCCUAAGCUGAGGCCGACAGGCGUAGGCGAUGGAUAACAGGUUGAUAUUCCUGUACCACCUAUAAUCGUUUUAAUCGAUGGGGGGACGCAGUAGGAUAGGCGAAGCGUGCGAUUGGAUUGCACGUCUAAGCAGUAAGGCUGAGUAUUAGGCAAAUCCGGUACUCGUUAAGGCUGAGCUGUGAUGGGGAGAAGACAUUGUGUCUUCGAGUCGUUGAUUUCACACUGCCGAGAAAAGCCUCUAGAUAGAAAAUAGGUGCCCGUACCGCAAACCGACACAGGUAGUCAAGAUGAGAAUUCUAAGGUGAGCGAGCGAACUCUCGUUAAGGAACUCGGCAAAAUGACCCCGUAACUUCGGGAGAAGGGGUGCUCUUUAGGGUUAACGCCCAGAAGAGCCGCAGUGAAUAGGCCCAAGCGACUGUUUAUCAAAAACACAGGUCUCUGCUAAACCGUAAGGUGAUGUAUAGGGGCUGACGCCUGCCCGGUGCUGGAAGGUUAAGAGGAGUGGUUAGCUUCUGCGAAGCUACGAAUCGAAGCCCCAGUAAACGGCGGCCGUAACUAUAACGGUCCUAAGGUAGCGAAAUUCCUUGUCGGGUAAGUUCCGACCCGCACGAAAGGCGUAACGAUUUGGGCACUGUCUCAACGAGAGACUCGGUGAAAUCAUAGUACCUGUGAAGAUGCAGGUUACCCGCGACAGGACGGAAAGACCCCGUGGAGCUUUACUGUAGCCUGAUAUUGAAAUUCGGCACAGCUUGUACAGGAUAGGUAGGAGCCUUUGAAACGUGAGCGCUAGCUUACGUGGAGGCGCUGGUGGGAUACUACCCUAGCUGUGUUGGCUUUCUAACCCGCACCACUUAUCGUGGUGGGAGACAGUGUCAGGCGGGCAGUUUGACUGGGGCGGUCGCCUCCUAAAAGGUAACGGAGGCGCUCAAAGGUUCCCUCAGAAUGGUUGGAAAUCAUUCAUAGAGUGUAAAGGCAUAAGGGAGCUUGACUGCGAGACCUACAAGUCGAGCAGGGUCGAAAGACGGACUUAGUGAUCCGGUGGUUCCGCAUGGAAGGGCCAUCGCUCAACGGAUAAAAGCUACCCCGGGGAUAACAGGCUUAUCUCCCCCAAGAGUUCACAUCGACGGGGAGGUUUGGCACCUCGAUGUCGGCUCAUCGCAUCCUGGGGCUGUAGUCGGUCCCAAGGGUUGGGCUGUUCGCCCAUUAAAGCGGUACGCGAGCUGGGUUCAGAACGUCGUGAGACAGUUCGGUCCCUAUCCGUCGUGGGCGUAGGAAAUUUGAGAGGAGCUGUCCUUAGUACGAGAGGACCGGGAUGGACAUACCUCUGGUGUACCAGUUGUCGUGCCAACGGCAUAGCUGGGUAGCUAUGUGUGGACGGGAUAAGUGCUGAAAGCAUCUAAGCAUGAAGCCCCCCUCAAGAUGAGAUUUCCCAACUUCGGUUAUAAGAUCCCUCAAAGAUGAUGAGGUUAAUAGGUUCGAGGUGGAAGCAUGGUGACAUGUGGAGCUGACGAAUACUAAUCGAUCGAAGACUUAAUCAA